GUAGCAAUGAAAAUAAUUUUAUGGUUGGGGGGUCACCACAACUUGAGCUGUAUUAAAGGGUGGCUGCACUAGGAAGGUUGAGAGCCACUGGUUUAGAUAAUGAUCUUCUGUGAAAAGAAAAGGCUUAUUUUGGUUCAUGGUUUGGAGGGUCUAGCCCAUGACUGGAUGGUCCAUUGCUUUGGGCCUAUUGCAAGGCUGGAUGCUAUGUUGGAAUUGUAUGACAGAGCAAAACCACUCACCUCAUGGCCAGGAAUGAAAGAGAAGAGAAAGAAACCAGAGCCCCAGAGUCUUCUUCAAGAGUAUACCUCCACUGACCUAACAACCUGAGUCACGAAGUCCUCACAGGCUGUGCUGGAAUAUCACCGUGUUUGGCAAUAACUUUCCCUGUUCCAGGGUGUGUGUGCACUUCUCUAUUCUGCUUCAAGAAUGUGUAUUCUCCAGAGACCUACAGCCAAACAUCAGGAGGAGCUCCAGGAACCCAAAGGAAGAGGGCGGGGAAGGAUUGUAAGAGCCAGAGGGGUCAAGGAGAACACAGCCCACACAGUAGGCCCCUAGAGGCUCAGAGAGACUGAAGUGGCAAUCCUGGAGCCUGCAUGGCGCUUGGUCAAUCCCACUGCUUUAUCUGUCCCUGGUCAGAAGAAACAAGCUCAUUUGGCCACGAUCCAAGAGUAAUACAUGUAGAUCAUCACUCUGAGGCUGCUAUAUGAAACCCAUUGUUUUGUCAUCCAGGACUGCUGUGGUGGACUGUCUGUACUAGAAAUUCAGACUUCCGUCUUUCUGCUAUACCACCCUGGCAUGUGGUUUGCACGAUCUGGGCUGCAUUAUGAGUCUGUGUGUUCCUGUAGCUCUGGUCAUUGUGUUCAUCUUCCAGACAGCAGGAGAAUGUGGAAAAACACUGAAGCAUACAUAAAAGAAAGAAGGUGUCAAUUACAUAAAGUAAUUCCAUCCUGGACCAGGCUUGGAAGAAAUUUAUUUUGCAAAGGCAGCUGAUUUUAAAAAUCGAGGGAUGAUAUGGGCCAAAACAAAAGAAACAAUGACUGAAAGCCAAAGCAGACAUCUGGAAAGAAAGAGUAUGGCCUGGUGGGAUGGAGUCCAGGGGGGAAGAAUGGACAAUGAAGGACCAUGAUGAACUAUGACUAAAUGUUUGCAGCCCCAGGAGAAGAGACUUGGUGCUUAUGAAAGUGGGUGAAAGCCAACAGAAGUCUGAAUAACGACCUUUUGAUCUCUCUAUGUAUUAUUAGGGAGUUGUAACUGAAAGAUUAUUUUAUUUAUUUUAAAAGUUUUAUUUUUUCAGCUUU